UACGAAGGGGGCUAGCGUUGCUCGGAAUGACUGGGCGUAAAGGGCGCGUAGGCGGAUGGCACAGUCAGAUGUGAAAUUCCCGGGCUUAACCUGGGGGCUGCAUCUGAUACGUGUGAUCUAGAGUGAGGAAGAGGGUCGUGGAAUUCCCAGUGUAGAGGUGAAAUUCGUAGAUAUUGGGAAGAACACCGGUGGCGAAGGCGGCGACCUGGUCCUUGACUGACGCUGAGGCGCGAAAGCGUGGGGAGCAAACAGG
rnacentral:rRNA from 1 species